rnacentral:rRNA from 1 species
GUGUCAGCCGCCGCGGUAAUACGGAGGGGGCAAGCGUUAUUCGGAAUUACUGGGCGUAAAGCGCGCGCAGGUGGUGCAGCAAGUGGCAGGUGAAAGCCCUGGGCUCAACCCAGGAACUGCCUGCCAAACUGCUGCGCUGGAGGCCGGGAGGGGAGAGCGGAAUUCCUGGUGUAGCGGUGAAAUGCGUAGAUACCAGGAGGAACACCGGUGGCGAAGGCGGCUCUCUGGACCGGUUCUGACACUCAUGCGCGAAAGCGUGGGGAGCAAACAGGAUUAGAUACCCUCGUAGUCC